UAGAUUAACGCUGGCGGCAGGCCUAACACAUGCAAGUCGAGCGGUAGAGAGAAGCUUGCUUCUCUUGAGAGCGGCGGACGGGUGAGUAAUGCCUAGGAAUCUGCCUGGUAGUGGGGGAUAACGUCCGGAAACGGACGCUAAUACCGCAUACGUCCUACGGGAGAAAGCAGGGGACCUUCGGGCCUUGCGCUAUCAGAUGAGCCUAGGUCGGAUUAGCUAGUUGGUGAGGUAAUGGCUCACCAAGGCGACGAUCCGUAACUGGUCUGAGAGGAUGAUCAGUCACACUGGAACUGAGACACGGUCCAGACUCCUACGGGAGGCAGCAGUGGGGAAUAUUGGACAAUGGGCGAAAGCCUGAUCCAGCCAUGCCGCGUGUGUGAAGAAGGUCUUCGGAUUGUAAAGCACUUUAAGUUGGGAGGAAGGGUACUUACCUAAUACGUGAGUAUUUUGACGUUACCGACAGAAUAAGCACCGGCUAACUCUGUGCCAGCAGCCGCGGUAAUACAGAGGGUGCAAGCGUUAAUCGGAAUUACUGGGCGUAAAGCGCGCGUAGGUGGUUCGUUAAGUUGGAUGUGAAAUCCCCGGGCUCAACCUGGGAACUGCAUCCAAAACUGGCGAGCUAGAGUAUGGUAGAGGGUGGUGGAAUUUCCUGUGUAGCGGUGAAAUGCGUAGAUAUAGGAAGGAACACCAGUGGCGAAGGCGACCACCCUGGACUGAAUACUGCCAUCUAAGGUACAAAAAAAGCGA
rnacentral:rRNA from 1 species